GCUCCGCCCCGCGGCGAGUCCCGAGGUCAACUGCCCUCCCGGCCAGGGCUCAGGACCUUCGUCCCCGCUGUCUUGGGGGACAGAGCAGAGGAACUGAAUGGUUGGGGCCUCUUUGAGGGGCCUCUCUGGUGACCGAAUCCAACUCUCUCUGAGCUUCUGAGUUUUUGAGGCAACUGUUGACAGACUGCGUUUUCCCAGCCAGAACAGCCAACAUUUCUAGGGAUUUCUUCGCAGCUUUUGUUGUUAAACUACCGCCUAACACUUUGUGAGCCCCACCAUGUGCAUAUCUUGGUUAGCAAUUAAUCUAGAGUGGUCCAAGAGAAUGCAGGAAGGCUGCAUCCUGGAACACACGUGCCUGCAAUAGGUCAGAGCAGCUGUUGGCACUCUCUGGGCAGGGAAACUGACAGCAGCUCUUUACUCUGCCCCCUGCAGCCGUUCUGCAGCGGUGAGAACAGCGGCGUUAAAACAGCGGCGUUAAAACAGGCUGGGCCCUGCCCCUGCCUCUUUUUCACCUUCCCUGAUCCAGCCGGCCUCCACCUGCCGACCUUCACCUGCCCGGGCCCAUGUUACCCCUUAACCAUGUCUUUUCCUUGGCGCUCGGCAUGUUUCUUUUUCAGCUGUGACUCCGUUCCAUUCAUGCUCUAGACUUACACCUGAAACCGUUUCUCAGAACCUUCCAGUGGAAGCUGACUUGUGCUCUUGGAUGCAAAAAGUGGCCGUUUAAACAAACAAAAGCCUGUUCAGCCAGAGUGGGUUCCAAGAUUUGGAAAAGUCCAGAUUCUCCUGGAAGAAAUUGUAGCUGUGCCCAUUCUCACCAGCAAUGGUAGGGGGUUGUUGAGUUUCUUCACAAGAUUACUGACUCAUGCCUUUUGCUAAUCAGUAGCAACAGGAGCCAAACUUGGAUUCAUCCUGAUAAAGCAGACAUUUGGGACUUCAUGUGAUCUAAUUGCUCUGAGCUGUUCCUUAAUCCCCAUUCGCUAAACCUUUGCAUCGUUGCCCACAAUGGCAUAAACGACCUUGAUCCAGGAUUGCAAAAUGGUCUACCCAACAAAGAAGCCUCAUAAUUGUUGAUGUGGCUGAGAUUCUCUAAUGCACCCUUCCUUGUUUUUAUUUUUUGUUCUAAGAAUUAUUUAAGUAAAAGAACAAAGCAAAUCUUAAACUUGUCUCUGUGAUAAGGUGAACCUCGGAAGGCAAAGUCCAUUUCUUCAUUCAUCUCUGCAUUCACAGCAACAGUUGCAGCCUUGCCCUCUUGCCCUGCAGCCAUCGCUGUGAGAAGAGCACAUCCUAGCAGAACCCGUGAUGGAGAGGAGGUUGCCCUGCAGUGAAACAGAGCUGCCCCAGCUGCCCAGCCUGCUGUGGAGCCUGCAGCCCAGCCCAGCCCAGGUCAGCGAAACUACAGCAGACUCACGAAGGCAUCGGCAGUAGUAAAUACCUAUUGUGUUAAGCCCCUGAGUUCU